CCCGCACAAGCAGCGGAGCGUGUGGUUUAAUUCGAUGAUACACGAAGAACCUUACCCAGGCUUGACAUGUUGGUGGUAGGGAUCCGAAAGGUGACCGACCCUUCGGGGAGCCUUCACAGGUGCUGCAUGGCUGUCGUCAGCUCGUGUCGUGAGAUGUUGGGUUAAGUCCCGCAACGAGCGCAACCCUUGCCCUGUUUUGCCAUCAUUAAGUUGGGAACUAUCAGGGGACCGCCAGCGAUAAGUUGGAGGAAGGUGGGGAUGACGUCAAGUCAUCAUGGCCUUUAUGUCCAGGGCUACACACGUGCUACAAUGGACGGUACAAAGCGCUGCGAAGCCGCGAGGUGGAGCUAAUCGCAAAAAACCGUUCUCAGUUCGGAUCGCAGGCUGCAACUCGCCUGCGUGAAGCUGGAAUCGCUAGUAAUGGCAGAUCAGCAUGCUGCCGUGAAUACGUUCCCGGGCCUU
rnacentral:rRNA from 1 species